rnacentral:rRNA from 1 species
CCUACGGGAGGCAGCAGUGGGGAAUAUUGGACAAUGGGCGAAAGCCUGAUCCAGCAAUGCCGCGUGAGUGAUGAAGGCCUUAGGGUUGUAAAGCUCUUUUACCAGGGAUGAUAAUGACAGUACCUGGAGAAUAAGCUCCGGCUAACUCCGUGCCAGCAGCCGCGGUAAUACGGAGGGAGCUAGCGUUAUUCGGAAUUACUGGGCGUAAAGCGUACGUAGGCGGUUAUUCAAGUCAGAGGUGAAAGCCCGGGGCUCAACCCCGGAACUGCCUUUGAAACUAGAUAACUAGAGUCUUGGAGAGGUUAGUGGAAUUCCGAGUGUAGAGGUGAAAUUCGUAGAUAUUCGGAAGAACACCAGUGGCGAAGGCGACUAACUGGACAAGUACUGACGCUGAGGUACGAAAGCGUGGGGAGCAAACAGGAUUAGAUACCCUGGUAGUCCACGCCGUAAACGAUGAUAACUAGCUGUCCGGGCACUUGGUGCCUGGGUGGCGCAGCUAACGCAUUAAGUUAUCCGCCUGGGGAGUACGGUCGCAAGAUUAAAACUUAAAGGAAAUUGACGG